UUUGCUCUUCAUUUCAACAUGUCUUUUCCUCUUACUCUUUGUGAUUUUCACUUGAUCCUUUUGAGUUUUGAUUCCAAAGUUCUUAAGAGACAGAGAUCCUAUUGGCUGGUGCAAGACCAUAGCAGUUGUGUGUGUGUGUGUGUGUGAGAGAGAGAGAGAGAGAGAGAGNNNNNNNNNNNNNNNNNNNNNNNNNNNNNNNNNNNNNNNNNNNNNNNNNNNNNNNNNNNNNNNNNNNNNNNNNNNNNGGAGAGGGAGAGGGAGAGGGAGAGGGAGAGGGAGAGGGAGAGCGCUGAGUCACUGUCUCCCAUUUCUGGCUUUGCUUCUCACAUCCACAACCCAUGUGCUCUACUUCCAUUUUUUCCUCUCAUUCCUGUUCCAAGCACAUCUGAAGAUUUUAUUUUCUCUAGCUUGGCUUUUCCCUUUGGGGAUGGCUCACAAAGCCUCAGAGCUUCUGAACGCACUCUGACGUGAGGGAGCAGCUUGAGUCCUCAAGUAUGUGUCCCGCCUGGAGACGAAGCCCAUUGAAGUCCCUGAGAGCAAACAGCUCUGAAAAGCAAAGCGAUCUGGUAUUUACUCAACUUUACUUCUGUCCGGUGGGUCAGAGAACAGACUCCAGUGUCCAGGAUAAAGCCGGGCCUGGCCGGGUCUUGGCAGCUCAAACCGCCCCAUUGUGAUUCAAGAUUCGGGGUGUAAACACAUGCAGUGUUUAACCACCGCCAGUCCUCUUUGAAUGUUUGAUAGCCGUGACUGGGGCUCAGGAAGAACACAGUAGUGACUUCUUCACUGGAGCUGAGGCUGAGGCUUUAUGUAGUGUUUGGGCAAACGGCACCGGCAGCUGCAAGCCCUCAAUGGGUGCUUUCUAGUUGCUGAGUGGGCUGUGCUGCGUUGCUGGGAGCCGAGGUCCGGAGCUGCCCCUGGGCUGGAUGGGGGGAGGAGGAGGCGGCCAGCCGCAGCCUGGGCCACCCCUUCUCGGUGACAGGUGCUGAGGGACAGGAGAAGGAGCCCCUCCCUACUGGCUCCCAAGCCUGGGCUCAGUGUCUGCCACUGACUGCCAUUUUUAUUGGGUUUUUGUUUCAGGAACACACACAGGACCUUGGCAGGCAGAGAUGUACCCUGUGGCUUGGUCUUUCUCUGCUCAGCUAGUGGUGAUGAAAACAGUAACAAAGACCCUGACUUUGCUAAAUGACCAAGACUCACUCAGAUAACAAGCCAGUACAGUUGCUGGCAGAGAGCCUUCUAGACGCUUGAUGCAGUGUGACCUACUGGAGUGAGAAGGAGAAUUGGAAGGGGAGGGCUCUCAGUUACAUUUUGGUCCAAUUAAAGGAUACUAUUAUCUCCUCCUGAUGUGGACUGAUGAUCCUGUUUAUCAUUAACUAUCAUCUACUGAGAACUUUUAUGUGCCAGGUACUGAACUAGGUAUUGCAUGUUCAUUGUCUUACCAUAAUCCUGCAAUUUCGUUGUUGUUGUUCUUUUUUUUUUUUAACAAAGGAGAAAACUGAGUUUCAGAAAGGUUAACUCAUUUGUUCAAUAGUGUUACGCAGCUUAUAAACGGUACAGUCAGAAAUCCAAUCUUGGUAUGACUAUAAAAUAACUUAUACCCUUUCUGGGAGAAACACAUAGCUUAUGCCCUGUAAAUUUGAUAUUUAAAGUGCCAGGUGACUGUGGCCUAGAAAAGGCGAUUUGGCCAUGGGAAUACAGAGUAAGUCAAUAAUUUAUAUUCAGAACAAUGUCUACUCUUUUCAUUACAGAGAAUUCCAGGAAAAUUCAGAUGAGGUAGAUUCAUAAGGCAGAAAAAUCCCUUCUUGGGAGUUCCCGUUUAACAAAGGCAGUUAACGAACCUGACUAGUAACGAACCUGACUAGUAUCCAUGAGGUUUGAUCCUUGGCCUCACUCAGUGGAUUAAAGAUCCAGCAUUGCCAUGAGCUGUGGUGCAGCUCUCACACGUAGCUGGGAUCUGGCAUAGCUGUGGUGUAGGCCAGCGGCUAUAGCUCUAAUUUGACCCCUAGCCUGGGAACGUCCAUAUGCCACAGGUGUGGCCCUAAAAAGACCAAAAAAAGAAAAAAAAAAUCGCUUCUUAAUACUGAGGGAGUAAGAACCCUGCCUCCUACCUCCCCUAACCCCCAGUCUGGGCCUGGCGAGCCUACAAGAAAAAAUUUAAUGUCACUCUUCUAUUUUAAAUAAUUACUCCUGAAUUUUUAAAUGAAAAACAAGAGGUCAGUUAUAAGAGCAAUUUAAAAUUUGCAGAAAAAAUUUAGAAGACGGUAGAGAGUUCCCAUAUACCUCACCGACCAGUUUCCACUAUUAUUAACAUCUAAUAGUGCACAUUUGUUAUUAAUGAACUGAUAUCAAAACAUUAUUAACUAAAGUCCAGUUUAUUCAGACUUCCUUCAUUUAUUUUUUUCUUUUUUGGGUUGCACCUGAGGCAUAUGGAAGUUCCCAGGCUAGGGGUGGAAUCAGAGCUGCAGUUGCCAGCCUACGCCACAGCCACAGCCAUGCCAGAUCUGAGUUCACGUCUGCAACCUACACCACAGCUCAUCGCAAUGCCAGAUCUUUAACCCACUGAGCGACACCAGGGAUUGAACGUGCAUCCUCAUGGAUACUAGCUGAGUUCUUGACCUGCUGAGCCACAACAGAACUCCCAUAGUCUUCCUUGAUUUGUAUCUAAUGUCCUUUUCCCAUACCAGGAUCCCAUCUAGGAUGCCACAUUACAUUUAGUUGUCAUGUCUCCUUAGGCUUCUCUUGGCUGUGAGAGUUUCUCAGACUUUUGUUGGUUUCAAUGACCUUGACAGUUUUGAGGUGUACUAGUGAUUUUUAAGAGGUAAGAGAAUGCCCAUCCCUGGGGAGAGGUCUGUUGUUUUUCUCAUGAUUAGAUUACAGCAGUAGGUUUUGGGCUAGAGGACCUCAGAUGUAAAGUGCCAUUUCAUCAUAUCAUAUCAAUCAAGGGUAUGUACUAUCAACAUGACCUAUGACUGUUGAUGUUGACCUUGAUCACCUGGCUGAGGGAGUGUUUGGCAGAUUUCCCCAAUGGAAAGUUACCUUUCCCCCUACCCUCUUUUUACUAUUUUCUUUCAAAGUCACUAUGCACAGCCCACAGCUAAGUUGGGUACUUGGUGACUUUUAAAAUAAUCUUCAUUGUCUCCCAUCUCUCAAAGUCAUUUCUUCUUCCUUAGCCUGAUUUAAUACCAUUCAUGUUAAUUAACCUCUUCACCUCUGUUUCCACUCUCCAAAUCAUAACUAUCAAAUCACAGACUUUCAGAGCUCAGAGAGUGUAAAGUGCACUAGCCUGUUUGUGAUUAGGUUAUGUGAUAGCCAGAUGAAGUAGAAAUGCAUAUACGGCUUGAAAGAAUUUCAUAUUUAAAUGUUCACUGAAAGCAAGGAAGCCUUCAUCACGAGAUAUUCAGAGAAUUGCUGGUAUACUGACAUUUGUUUUAAGGACCAGUGUUAUUUCUACUUUGAAUAACAUAAAAGUAUGGCAUGCCAUUCUCAGCAUCAAUGUCCCAAGCCCAGCCCCUCACCUAUCUUUCACAGAGGAGUUGUGGAGGUGAAACGAGUUGUCCCAGGUCACAGAGGUGGUGUCAAGGAAAUAAGGUCUCCAAUUUGACCCCUAGCUGGGGAACUUCCAGAGAGAAAUAGACAUCCACUGUGAACACAGAUUUCCCAACAAAACUCAAAGGCUGGUUGAUUUUUGUAAAUCUCAAAACUUCGAAACAAUUAAAAAUUAUGUUAGAAAAAUAAUUAAAACUUGUCUGAGAGUAAACGUACUUGCGUGGAAAGGAAACUGAACAAAGUUAGCAGUAUGCCUUUGACUGUGAACUGUUAUCUGACCAGCAAUAUGAGUAGCAAGCUUUUUAACAUUGUUAUCAAGGUCCCAGAUUACUUAGGUAUAUCUUGCUUGUAGGUCGCAUUUGCCUAUGUGUCUGUGUCUGUGUGUGUGUGUGUGUGUGUGUGUGAAGAUUCAGAAAACAGAGUUCAAUUUUCUCCGGAAGAAUCUGCCCUCAAGUCUAUAUCAAGAGCUGGUAGGCUGGAAGGAUUAAGUGAAUUCACUCCAGAAAAGAACAGAAAUGAAAUGAUCAAUGAAAAUACACUGAGGGAUAUUUUAAAGAAAGUUUUUAACAGGCAUACUUGUUUGAUUCAUUUUAUCCAAUGUUC
rnacentral:lncRNA from 1 species